UUGGACUAAUGUUCCCCUUAAAAAAUAAAUAUAAAUGUAUACUUACCAAAGAACAAAAGGACAACCCCAUAUGAUCAUCGAUUGAUGGGGUCCCACCACAGUACAUGAUCUAAGACUCUACUCUUGUGUGAUUACAUCAGAGAGAGAGAGAGAGUUUAGAUCCUUGAUCCAACGGUCAUUAUUACACUGACCUCAUUUGUGAAUUACACAAGGCAAUGAGGCAUAGACAAGACCCUAUUAAAUUGAGGAGGUUUGAAAAUAUUUAUAUUAGCGUACAAAACAUAUGAUGGCAUGGAAUGGCUUGGCAGACAUUUUUUUCUUCUUUCUCUCAACUAAUGUCUUGAAUUUACUUCACCACCUUACUCUUUACUACGAUCAUUAAAGAAAAAGUAACCUUAUUUCAAAUUUUACUUUAUAGCCUUUACUUGGAUUGGGCUAUAAAUAGAUGAAGCUAGCUUUACUGGCUCUUCCAUCUCAACAAAGCAAAAACAACAGAGUAGUAGUAGUGAAGAAAAAAGAGUGUUAAGCUUAUAUAUAAUAAUAUAUCAUAAAAGCAUUUUAAGCUGGUGAGUUGCUCCUUGUUGGAGAAGCAGGGCACGUGCAAUAGUAAUUAAUUUAGUAAUUACCAUUGAAUUGAUUGUGUUGCACGCGCUCCACUUCUCCACCAUGGGCCUCUCACCAUUCCAUUUCCUCUCUAAUUCUAAAGACAUUCAUCUCUUAUUGUGUAUUAUGAAAAAGUGAAGGAGUUGUUUCAAGAAGGGGAACAUAGUCAGGGCUCAGAAGAAUAUGUAUGGAGAGAUCAUACAAUUGAGAUUUGAGAGAAGCUUCUCCUUCACCUGGUUUCGUGUACCUUUUUCUUAUGCCUUGUUUAUUUUAUGAUGUAAUCACACACCAAAAGUGAAAAUAUGUACUGCCCAUCCCCUGCCUUUAUUUUAUAUUACAUAUAAAUAUAUAUAUAUAUAUAUAAAUAAAAAUGUACUUUUCUUUAUCUUCAUUCAACUAAGUUUGUCCAAAAGUAAUAAUAACAAUUGUGGGUUAGGUCCUUUCUUCUAAUAUCUC